rnacentral:rRNA from 1 species
CCUACGGGGAGCGGCAGGCGAGAAUCAUUCACAAUGGGGGAAACCCUGAUGGGGCGACGCCGCGUGGGGGAAUGAAGGUCUGCGGAUGGUAAACCCCUGUCAUGUGGGAGCAAAUUAAAAAGAUAGUACCACAAGAGGAAGAGACUGCUAACUCGGUGCCAGCAGCCGCGGUAAGACAGAGGGCUCAAGCGUUGUUCGGAAUCACUGGGCGUAAAGCGUGCGUAGGCUGUUUCGUAAGUCGUGUGUGAAAGGCGCGGGCUCAACCCGCGGACGGCACAUGAUACUGCGAGACUAGAGUAGUGGAGAGGGAACCGGAAUUCUCGGUGUAGCAGUGAACUGCGUAGAUAUCGGGAGGAACACUCGUGGCGAAGGCGGGUUCCUGGACAUUAACUGACGCUGAGGCACGAAGGCCCGGGGAGCGAAAGGGAUUAGAUACCCGUGUAGUC